GUGGCCUCCACCAAGGGCUAGGUGGGGCUUGGCCAGGGGAAGUCUGAGAACAGAAAGUCAAACCCACAGAGAUGGCUGAGCUUGACGCUUCCAGAGCCCGUUCCCUCCUCGGCAUGUCCCAGAAGCCCGUGUGCUGUCUUUUUGCUGCAUCCUCUUCCGGCGUGACUCCAUAAGCUAGACGGCCCUGGUGUCUGCUCGCACAGCUGGGGAGGCGGGCAUGGAGGGGGGCAAAAGACAGGAGCUCAGAGGCCAGGAGAACAAACCAGGAGCAGCUGUAGCCACAGGAACCCAGCGGCCAAGAGAACAAACCAAUCAGGAGCAGCUGUAGCCACAGGAACCCAGAGGCCAGGAGAACGAACCAGGAGCAGCCGUGUCUGAGGAGCUCAUCUUGGGUCCCGCCUACCCUUCUCCCCAGCCAGCCUCGGCCAUUGUCCAGCCCUAGCCGUGCUCUUCCAAAGUGGCUUCCACAGCCCUACCAUAGGCUCAGUCUCAGACUUCUUGAGCUCCUGAGAGCUGAGGGUACGCUGGCUGUCUGACUCGCAGAUUUCCAAAGUGUGAAACGGAGGAGUCAGGUGCUGGGACUGGGGGCCAGCUCUCAAAUCACAGAGGGGUCCCACAGUCCCAGGGUAGCCUGACGUCUCAGCCGCACCUCCUGACGGAAAUGCAGGCACACCAGCAACCCUCGCUCUCCUCGCCUCCUUCUCCCGUGUGUUCUCAUUGAUUCUGCUCUGAAGUGAUUGGUCAACGCUGCUCCCAUGUGAAAGUUUAAAGGCAGUGCGGAGGGCAGGCUGCCUGCCAUCCUAACCGUGUUCAGCCCGACGCCCCGGUUCUGAGAACAGAACUUCACAGCACUGCCAACUCCGACCUCCAAGGAGGACCACGACUUUCCUUCUCUACACAAGCGGAUCCAGAACGGAGCCACUUGGGGUGGGCUAUUGCCCGUGGUGUUGCUGCGGUGGGGCAGGUAUGAUGGUGCUGGCUUCUGUCAGGGGGAUUACACGUUCUGGAAGCCUGGACCGCAGAAGAAAUGUUUCUACCCGACAGGACAGAAGCAGCAGCUAUGGUGAAUGCGUUGUCCUGACUCACACCUGUACCCCUAGCAAUCAUUAGACAGGAAGACUGCCAUGAGUUUGAAACCAGCCUGAGCUACCUGUGGGACCCUGUCUCAAAAAAAAAAGUGAGCUGUGAGAGACUAUUCAGUACAAAAAAAACCCUGAGUCUCCGCUCUAAACAAAUAGCGUUGAGAUUUAAAGUCAUUUGUGGGCCAGGCAUGGAAGCACAUGACUGUAACUUCACUGUCCUCAAAGAACUCCAGAGGCUGAGGCAGUCAGAUCUUGGAUCACAAAGUCAAAGCCAACCUGGGAUACACAGAGUGAUUCUGCCUCAAAGGGUGUGCUGUAAACAGUGCGCGGCGUCCCUUUGACCCGGCUUCACCCGUCUCGGAGGACACAACAGACUCUCCUUCACAGAAGUCACCGCCACCAGCCCCCAGCACAUGCAUGCUGACGGAAGUCGUAAGAAAAGACAGAGUUGCGCGUAGAAUUCAAUGACCCUAAUCCUCAAAUCUGGGGGAUGCAUUUCUACUCUUCACGGGGGAAAUUCCUUUGGAACCAAGCCCUCAGCAACUCAACCGCAUGCUUUCGGGUCCCUUGGUUUUGUGGCUGCAGCUGUUAUUUGAAGCCCAGCCCUGUGCUUCUGGAUGUCACCACACCGCAGGUACAACGGAAAGCCACUGUCCCUUCGUCAUCAGAGUAUCUGCCAGGGAGAAGGCGGCGAGCAAACCCUUCCACACCCCCAAAAAGCUCCCAUUCAUUCACCCACCUCGAAUGUAAGCAAACGCAGCCAGAGAGUUGCUGACGAUAACGCCAUCUUUCCUUACAACCCUUGAUCCACUCGGGUCGAAUUUUAAACCUGCAAAAUGCAAAGGCCAUCGGUCAGAGCAAUACAGGGUGUGCCUGUCCUAUAAGCCCUGUUGACCUGCAUCCAGGGCUGCCAGAAGAGUUAAAAGUCACAGACAUCAAACCACUGGGCUUCUGGCUGAACUGUGGGAGACUGGGGACACUUAGCGUGGAGGCCUCUGUGUGACAUGUCCCAUGAGUGUGGGAAGACGUGGUCCCGGCUGGCAUUGCAGUUUGGGAGGCUGCAGAACCUUUAGAGAGGUUAUGUAUCCUCACGGGAGGAAGCGGGUCACAGGGGCAGGCCUUGAGGUCUGUAACCUGGCCCCGCUCCCGAGUGUCCUCUGGUUCUGGACUGUCUCACUGUCCUGAAGCCAUGACGGACUUCAUCCUUUCCUAAAGCCAACAUAAAGCCUUCCUUUCUUA